AUCUUUGUGGAGAUCCCUGUCUGCCUGAGGCCUUCUAAAGUCUUCACUUGGACCUGUUUGCAGAUGUUCUUUGCCACUGUCAGAAAUUCUUCACUUCUUUCAGCCUUGAGAAUAAUAGGUUUUCUUACCACCCUCAUCUUUGGCCCAUCUGUUCAAGGGUGCUAUGAACUCUUGUGACAUCUGAGACAGUAUUUUCAGCCUGUAUCUUUGUGGAGAUGAGGAUGGAAGAGAGCUACUACUCUUCCCCCUCUGAGGAGGUGAGGGAAGUGCUAUACAUAAACACACACCUAAAAUAAGGCCUGUCUCCCUAUACCCAUGUGAACAAAAUGGGUUUUUGUUCCUUGUUGCCUUCCUUGGAGCUUGGCUAGGUCAUGACCAGAGGAAGGGGUCUGCUGGAGCUGACUCUCUACACCUGCCCUUGUUACCAGCCUGUUCAGUCAAUAACAUUUCCCCUCAUGCUUUAUGAGUCUGGAACCCAGCACAGGAAUGGCAACAAGGAGCACACACUAGUGAGGGUAGCCUGGCAGCUGCUGGUGGCUCCUGGCUGGCAGCCACCCUCCUUUGUCUGCCUACUGCUCUCCAAGCUUGGAGCCAGCCCCAUGGUGUAGUGAUUGCCUACUGCUGGCUGCCUCAGAAGCAUGAAGAGGCCUAGGGUAGACCCAGAACCUCAUGCAGUGACUGCCUCUGUGAAUGAGGUACUUGGGAACUAGCCUCCCUCUCUACUCAAAAUGCCCUAUGUGAAGCUGCCCUCCUCUACCAAAGGUCACUGCUUCUUCAGCAGUAGAAAUUAAUGAGACAAUCUUUGUCUCAUUAAGAAUAACAAAGAAGCUCACCUGUCCAAAUCCUUAGUGUCUCUUCUGCUGUGGCCACUUCUUUGGCUUCACUUCACCAUCAACAUUUUCACAAAUCUACUUAGUUUUUUCUCUUUUUUUGCAUAUUGCACUUUUUUUUCCUAGUCUUCACCGAGUUGUGCAUGCUCUUUCUAGGGGCUUACAAUUUUUCUUCCAAACUUCACUUGCCUUCCUGUCCAAUCCUGAUGUACAUAGCAACAAAUAUUCCAUGUGGAUUUUUAUUAAAUGCUGAAAGCAAAUACAUCU
ensembl:lncRNA